rnacentral:lncRNA from 1 species
GGAAAGUGAUGACUACAUUACCACUGAUCUCUGCAAUUAACUCUCCAAAGCAUAUCUCAUUGGAUUCCAAAUAAGUGUCUUUGAUUGCUUUAGUGGCUAGAGAUAAAGAGCUUAAAAAAAGCAGCUUUCGGUUAUGGGAGUAACAAUUUUCAAAAGUGAGGAACAUAGAGAGGGAGAGCAAUCUCACUCUCUCUACGGAUGAGAGGAGAGAGGAGAGAGAUGAAUUCCACAACUAUAAUAUUAACCAUAAUAGGAGAAUGAGUUUAAUUGCACGAUAGGAAUAAUUACAUUAAUAAAAAGAUAACCCCAAAAAACUAUCACAUAUUUCGAAUAAAGACUACAAAAAUUAAAAAGAUGAGUGCAAGCAAGCACACAUUUAUUAUACACAAUAAAUACAAAAAUUGUUCCAAACGCCCAAAGGCAUCGAGUAAGAAUUGUUCCAAACGCCCUAUAACGCCAAGUAAGAAUUGUUCCAAUGCUUUCGUAGAAUGGGAUGACAUUGCUAGGGCCUAUAAUAAUCUCAUCAUAAUCACAUUGUGAAGGACUAAAUAACUAUGUAUUUCAAUUAGAUCAUAACAUAUUGCAAAUAUGUCAAUGAACAGAGUAUAUUGAAAAUGUAAGGAAUAUGACAAAUUGCAAAUGCAAAGCUAAAUAUAGAAAUAACUACUGACUUCAUCUAUACAAGCAAAAGAAUUAAACCAGUCAACAAGUGGAACCACGAAAAAAGAAAUACAACAAAGGGAGUAACCCUUCAAGAAUCAAGGUUUACAGAGCAAUGCGUCUACACUAGCAAAUAAUUCAAUAUUGAACUAUAGAACAAGGUCAUCUAUAAAAGCAAACAAAGUGGAAAAUAACUUAUUGGAAUCUAAGUAUUGCACUAUAGAACAAGGCCAUCUAUGCAAGGAAAAAUGCAGAAAUUCUGUCUUCCUCAAGAUGCAGAAAUUUUGUCUUCCUCAAGACACAAAACCCUUGCAGCUUUUAGUAAUUGAGUUCAGCAACUGUGCCAUUUUGAUGCUUGAACGGUGAUCACCUCCUCAAAAAGGGUGUUCCUAAGCAAGCAAGAGCACAGAAGCUGGAUCCCUUUUUGGAAGUUCUAAAAUUUAAGAUAAAGAACGAAGCUAGUCGAAACAAGUUCAAGUCAUGUGUCAUCAUACAUGUAUUUCUACAUUUAGGAUUCUGCCUCAUCCUAACAGAGGUCGAUAAAAAAGUUCAGUCUCAAGAUUUGUAACUACUUUACACAAUUAAUAAACCUAUAAGUAAGCAAAUGGUUCACUGAUUAUUCGGUGAAGAGCACACAUCGCAUGGAAUCCAGAGAACAAAAAAGAAAUCUAGAGUACAGUCUCAUAGCAGCUCUCCAUUCAGCACAUACAUAUAUUGAACCACGACUACUAAUUUCGAAUAUGGUUAAAGACAAUAGCAUAAAAAAAACAACUUGCCAUCUGCAUGGCCAAUAUUUGUAGCCCCCCAUAAAUUAACGUGGUCAAUGUAUUCAUUUCCCACCAACUGAUUCAAAGGCACAGACUGGUGAAUUUACAUCACCCAGCACCAAAUGCGAGAGUCACAUUCUUCUGAGUCAAAAUUAAAAAACUCGACAAAAGAACAACUACUCCUUUGCCAUUAUAAGGUGAAGAUUGUGAUAUGCUCAAUUGGAAAAAAAAAAAAAGGAAGAAGAAGGUGACUUGUUAUUUUUGGAUGUCAAAAUGUUGCUUUUUAUUUCAUUGUAUUCAAACUUGUAGGUUUUGCAAUUGAAUAUUUUAAAUUAUAAUACUUUGUGGAAAUGAUAAUGGAUGGUAUCACUAACCAGCAUACUAAAUAAAAUCUACGAUGUUACACUUGAUGCUAACUUUAUCCAUUCUGAGUUGGAUUGAUUCUAGAUCAACGAAAUCUAUGUUCAUUACCUAGGAGAAGUCAUCCUCUUUUCUGAUUUCUUACGUUCUUCACGUCAAUUGUUGAUUACAACUAAGAGAAGUUUCCCUAAAUUCUUGAUCAGAACAGUGCAUAAAUUCAUCCAAUUUUCAUAUGAGAAUUUCAACAAACACAAAAUGGAUAGAGAGAAAUUACCUUUCAGUGUCAGGUUUCAGCGAGAGCUUGCUUCCUUUACCUAGCGAGAUUUGUUAGAGAGGGUUGCAGCGAGGCCCAUCCAAGCUUUCAGCGAGCUUCCUCACCGUUCUCCCAAGGUUUCAGCGAGCUUCCUCACCGUUCUCCCAAGGUUUCAGCGAGUUUCCUCAUGGAAAAAGAGAAAAAGAGAUUCUGCCAGCUUCAGCCAGAAUUCAAGGAGUUUGGGCGAGAAAGGGGUUUUUCUCGCUGAAAAAGGGCAGAACGGCUUCCAAACUGCUGAUUUUGUUGGGUUUUACCCCAAGCCGUUGAUCGCACCUCAUACGUAUACGCGAACGAGCGUAUACAAGCGUUUUCUAUAUAUAUAAACGAGCGUAUACAAGCGUUUUAUAUAUAUAUAUAGCGGAGAGGUCUUCCCAUCGGCUAUAGACGAAAAUAAACAGUGAUUUCACCAAGUCAUUUCACUGUUCAAAGUUUAUUGUACGGUUAUAAGUUUUUGAUAGUGUUUUUUACAAAUUGGAAUGAUCUGAAAUUUGGAACGUGUGUAUAUCUUAGUGAGGUACAGCUAAUAAAAAUAUAUAAAAAAUAAUUCAUAAAAAACAAUUGAUCAAAAUACAAUUGAAACAUUUUAAGAGUAUUUUAGUCAAUUUAUUUCAUGUAAAAUAUGUUUUUG